GUGGGGAAUUUUGGACAAUGGGCGCAAGCCUGAUCCAGCAAUGCCGCGUGCAGGAAGAAGGCCUUCGGGUUGUAAACUGCUUUUGUACGGAACGAAACGGUCCGGGUUAAUACCCUGGGCUAAUGACGGUACCGUAAGAAUAAGCACCGGCUAACUACGUGCCAGCAGCCGCGGUAAUACGUAGGGUGCAAGCGUUAAUCGGAAUUACUGGGCGUAAAGCGUGCGCAGGCGGUUUUGUAAGACAGGCGUGAAAUCCCCGGGCUCAACCUGGGAAUUGCGCUUGUGACUGCAAGGCUGGAGUGCGGCAGAGGGGGAUGGAAUUCCGCGUGUAGCAGUGAAAUGCGUAGAUAUGCGGAGGAACACCGAUGGCGAAGGCAAUCCCCUGGGCCUGUACUGACGCUCAUGCACGAAAGCGUGGGGAGCAAACAGGAUUAGAAACCCCUGUAGUCC
rnacentral:rRNA from 1 species